AACGAACGCUGGCGGCAGGCUUAACACAUGCAAGUCGAACGGGUGCAGCAAUGCAUCAGUGGCAGACGGGUGAGUAACACGUGGGAACCUUCCUAGGGGUACGGAACAACUCAGGGAAACUUGAGCUAAUACCGUAUACGUCCGUGAGGAGAAAGAUUUAUCGCCCUUAGACGGGCCCGCGUCGGAUUAGCUAGUUGGUGGGGUAACGGCCUACCAAGGCGACGAUCCGUAGCUGAUCUUAGAGGAUGAUCAGCCACACUGGGACUGAGGCACGGCCCAGACUCCUACGGGAGGCAGCAGUGGGGAAUCUUGGACAAUGGGCGCAAGCCUGAUCCAGCCAUGCCGCGUGAGUGAAGAAGGUCUUCGGAUUGUAAAGCUCUUUUGCCAGGGACGAUAAUGACGGUACCUGGAGAAUAAGCCCCGGCAAGCUUCGUGCCAGCCGCCGCUGUAA
rnacentral:rRNA from 1 species